CUGAAAUACACAGUGAGACCCUAUCUUAAAUAAAACAAACAACAACAGAACCCACCCCUGGCUGCCCACACCCUCUCUGCGGUCCUGCUCUGGCCUGUGCGGUGUUUCCCUCCGCUCAGGAUUCUGAGCAGAGCUUCCUCUGAAGGUGGGCAAUCAGCUGUGAACACUGAAGUCGGCCCGCAGCGGGUGUGGACCAGGGACUAACGGUGCUCAGGUGCAAGACCGAGGUCCACUCCGCCACCCCGUUAAUACUGCUGCCUAGGGAGGUCUUUAUCAUCACUGUCGAUCGCACCUGGCAUCGCUACCCGAACCUGGGCAGUACUGGGUGAGGCACUGCCCCUAGCAUCCUUCGCUCCCUCAAGUGGGCUCUGGGCAUGGCUUCUGGAGGGCUAGAGAUGCUGGCGACCAGGCUGGUGAAAGGCACCCCAGGCCCUCCGACCUCUCCAAUCCUCCACUUAUCUAAUCCUGCAGCUAACUCAGCUUCUGGGCUUUCCUGAGGAAGAAGACAUCACAGCACCUGAGGGGAUAGUGCUGUCCCUGCAGGGCCGCAAGAGCAGCUGGAUGCUUCCCAGCAGGAAAGAGGGCAGAUCUGUGGGGUCGGAUCCCUCCUCUGGGCCUCCCCUAAGCCAGCUCCCUGCCCU